ensembl:lncRNA
GAAGGAGCCAUGAGCUGCCUCUGCAACUUCUGCUGGUUUCAUCUCCCUUUCCCCUGCUGCAAUGAUCCUGGGCCUCAUCAAGUGAGGAUCCCUGGGUGGCUCAAUUAAUCCAAGAGCCCCUGAAAACCCUUUCUGAACAUGCAGACAAGCAGGAAAUAAACUUCUGUUCCCAGGAGGAGGGAGCACACCGUGCCAUGCAGGGCCACUUGGGGAAGCUCCAAGAUCUCUCAAGCCAAAGGAGCCAGAGGGAAAUGUGGGCAGGAGCUGAACUGUGGUUUUCCAGGGAAGGACCGAAACAGGAAGGGUGAGCAGUGAGCAGGUUUGGUACCAGUUCCAGGUGUAUGAGGCCCUCUGUGGUCUGAUAACCAGUCCUGUGCUGCGGAGGGGAUCCACAGCUAAGAGCUCAAUAAAGAAGAUGCAGUGGCACUUGCCUAUAAUAUGAGCACUCUGGGAGGCUGAGGCAAGACAGCAAGUUCAAGCCCAGUCUGAGCAACUUAUUAAGACCCUGUCUCAAAAUGAAAAUUAAAAUAAGGAUGAAAGUGUAGCUUAGUGUAAAGGCCCUGGGUUGAAUCUCCAGUACCAAAAAAAGAGGUAGCAGAGCUGCAUAUGAGACAGGCUUCUGGGCCAGCUGUUUCUUAUCUCAUUCAGCACGGUCCCAAGAUAUGAAGGCCUCAGAAAAUAAAAAAUAUGAUGAGUACACAUAGCAUAUCCUGAUGGAUGGCCCUUUUCUUUCCUUCCUAGCAUUUACCAUGGCUCCUACUUAGAGGUUCAAUGGGGUAAAUAGUGUUAUUAUUUUGGAAAUGGUUUCAUUCAGGACUCCUUGACAAGCUAAAAGUCCCAUGAGGCUGGGCUGUGUUUGUUCUUCCUAUCUUGGAAGAGUAGUUUGAAUAAAUGAAUGAACAAACAAAUGAAUGAAUGAAUGAAUGAAUGAAUGGCAGGUUCUUUGGUAUGUCCAAGAACAACCCUAAAGGGGUCACUGGUGAUCCUGCUGCUGGGGGUGUGGACACAGGCAGGAGAGACAUCCAAGCUUGGGCUGAGAAUCUUGACUUACUGGCAAUUCUCUGGCCCACCCAUGGAGUGAGGUCAGACGUAAACAAAAAGCAGACUGCCUUGGACAUUGCCUUCUCUCAACUACCCCAGCACAAAGAGGGCCUCAAAAGGGACCACCAGUAAGAAUGGGCAGAGAAAAGUGCAUGGAGCUUAGGAGGGCACACAGGGAGUCCUAGUGCCAAAGUAAGACUGUCCAGUGCUGGGACCAUGCUUGGGGACAGUUAGAACAAUGAGACCUAUGCUGCACGUGGAGGCUGUGAAGGUGCAGAGCUGCCCAAAACUAUUCUCCAACAAGCGUUCCAGAGCGCUUAUGGAUCAAAUAGAGACCUGGGAAAUGCUGGGUUAAACACGGUUAAGCCAGGACUUUUCAGAAAACAAACAAACCCAAAAUAAAGAGCUUAUUGUUAGGGCUUUUAAUGAGCUAAGUCGGUGUCAACCUCAAAGGCAAAAAUAGAUUAUAUAUAAGAGCUCCCAAACUCAUUUGAUCAUAGACUCGUUUGUUCGUAGUUACUGUAUGCACUGGGGUUCUGGGGAACCCUCUCUGGGAAUUGAUAGGCUCAGAGAAGACAGGUCAGGAGGCCCAGGCUGCUCCCACAGAGGCAAUGAAACUGCUGAUGCUCUGGGUCUUACAAGUCCCAAAACCCAGAGGGACCAAAGGGCAGAUGAUUCCUGAGCUGCCAAAGAUCUGGAGAGCCCAGUGAUAAAACCCCAUUUCAGAGGGUGAUUCAUGCAUAUCUCUACUUUGCAAUCUUAAAGAGCCAAACUAAUAUGGAAUUAUCCUGGAAUAAACAGUAAUAUAGCAAAUUGGGCCUUUAUUGAAUGGUUCUUAUUUAAGGCUCUUAGCACAUCAAACAGCGAUAUAUAAAAAGACAUGUCAAUUGACCUUGGGAAUAAAAGAGCAAAUGUAAGCAACAUUUGUCACACUGACAGGCUUGGCAAAUAGUGUUUUGAUUUGCCGGCAGCCCUACUCCAGACAACAGCCACUAGUUAGAUACAUAAACCAUUAAGCAAAAACAGAACUAUCAUUAUGGGCAUCAUCUAGUAAUUUGCAGGUAAUUGAUGGACAUUAGUCAUAAUCACACACAAUACAUAGACACACACAUACACCCCUAGAGACACAUGUUCUCUCUGGAAAUUCCCAUUUGCAUUUCAUCAAGAGCUUCCAAAACUGGGAAACUUUGAAAAAUGGGGCUUUCUGUGCUUUCAGUACGUAUGUCCCACACCCUUUUAUUUUUAGCUCAUCCUGUGGGCUGAGGCUCUGCGGAACUCUCUCAGGGAAAUGCCAGGCCCAAAGAAAGCUGGUCACAGAGCUCUGACUGUUGCUACAUUAGUCACAAGAGCACCUAUGCUCCUGGUCUUGGAAUCCCUGAAACAGAGUGACUGUAAGCCUGGAGAGGUGGUUCUUAUGCUGUCUCAAGAUCUGAGAAUCCUUGUAAUAACCCCCUACUCCAUUUCUAAAAGUGAUCUGGCACUAACUAGAACCAGCUGAAAAAAAAAAUUUACAUCCAAAGGCUCUUCUCUAUCAUGUCCUAGCCUCUCCAGAUAGCCUCUCUUGGCUCUGCAAAUCUCUGCCUUCAGCUGCAGGUGCAUUUAUUUUUGGAGGCCUAGAUAGCUGUGCUAAGAAUGGCUGGGUGGGAGCAACGCUGGCUUCUGUAUGGCCAUGUAUACUCUCUAGGAUGUGUACUGGCUUUAGAAGCAAGAUCUGGAGUGAGAGCAGGCCCACCUGCCGAGGUCUAAAAAUAGGGGAGCAGCAGCACACAUGCAGAAUGCAAAUGUUCUAAGUACAUUGCUGUCAAGACCCAUGGGUGUUUUCUAUAGAACUGAAGCUUCUCAUUCUGCAGCAGGGUGUCUUGGGUGUUCUCCCCCUGGGCUUUAUCCAGCAGUUCCCAGGCCAGGUUUCACAUACUCCUCUCCAGUAUGAUGUGAGUAGAUUUGCCUGGAAAAAUGAGCAAAUGUCUUUGGGAAGCACUACAAUUGAAAUAGCAUCACAGUUCCCAAACUGUACAGUAAGUGCUCAGGAGUGCUGUGGCAGAUUUACAAGGAAUCUGAGGGCUAGCUGUAUCCAGCUGAUGCUGUAUACCACCAUUUCUUUUAGAAAUUUAAAAUUAUUGGCUCAAGGGAGUUCACAGUUUCAACAGAAAGCUACAUUUCAUCAGAUAAUACAAUAUCUGUGCUAAGCUGGGGAUUUGGUGGUUGGUGUGAUAUGAAGUAGAUGCCAUGUGCAAGUCAGUGUGGAAUAAGGUAUGAGGGUGGUAAUGUCAAUCUGAUUCCAAGGUUGGAGAGUAUGUAGUGUCCCACAAGCACACACACACACACACACACACACACACACACACACCAUUAGUAUGUGAUUACAGUUAUGGAUGAAACUGAAAUAUUGUUUUUAUUUAUUGUUUUAAUUUAUAUUUGUUAUUUUUGCAACAGCUCUAAAGUUAUUAGGUUAUACAUACUUAUUCAGUUACAGUAUUUAGACCUAACUACUUAAUAAAUGGAGCUGAUAGUUUUUGGUUUUUGUUUUUUUUUACCCUUUGAGCACCAUGGAAAUAUUACAGAGCCAUAAUGGCACCUGAAACUAAGAAAUUUGGAGAACCUUUGCAUUGUUGUAUAAAAGGCCCUGAGAAGUGCUGCAGCAAGAAAAAUAAACACAGUUGAAACCAGCAUUGCCAUACUACUUCAGCACAAACAGUCUUGUUUCUUGAUAUCAGCUUGGAGCUAGGAAAUCUGGACUCUGCUUGAUCGUCCAUCACAGAGACUGAAGCAUCCAGUGCCAUGGAGAAGGAGGAAUUGAGCAGCUUUUCUCCACUGUGCUCUUCCACCAUGAUGUUUCUGCCUCAGAGCCAGCUAUCUGAAGAAAAAAUCAGGGACAACCAGAAGGAUGUAAGUGGAGGACAAAUUGCCAUGGAGCCCGUCUGGGAAAGAAUGAAAGGUCAUCGUGUCUCUGAGUCAGAAUGGGACACUUCCAUGGGUGACUGACUCCUCAUUAGUCCAUCAUCUUGGGUCCCUCCAAGCAAAGCAGAAACAAGAAAGUUCCAAAGAAGGUUAGAAUUUAAUGGCACAGGUGCAUAAUGAUUAUAUGUACUCAUGGGGUAUAGUGUGAUAAUUUGAUACAUGUAUGCAAUGUAUGAUGAUGAUCAAGUCAUUCCCUUUUGAAGAGUUAUCACACAUGGGAAAACCAGAAAAAUGCAACAGGACACCAUGUGGCAUUGAGUGCUGUACUUUUUACUAUCUUGUCUGGGAACAGAGAUGGCACAACGGUCUGCUUAAGACUGAUCCCAAGCCAAGAGGGAUGCCUUAGAUAACAAAGAGCCAGAUCCAAAAGGUCCAUUCUGUCUUAACCUAGACGGAAAAGCCGUUCCCAAACAAGCUGCUGUCAACCACCCUCAGGGCUCAUGGCUGACUCAGAGUGUGUGACUGGGACUCUAUGAGAGCGCCUGAAACCUUAUGAUACCCUCUCAGGACUAGAGGGUGCCCAAGGAAAAGUGAUGGUUCUGACCUGCCCUUGAGGGUUAGUUUUGCUCCUAAAUAAAUG